GACGUAGGGGGCGAGCGUUGUCCGGAUUUAUUGGGCGUAAAGCGCGCGUAGGCGGCUCGGAAAGUCGGGUGUGAAAAUCCGGGGCUCAACCCCGGACCUGCAUCCGAUACUCCCGGGCUAGAGGCAGACAGGGGAGAGCGGAAUUCCUGGUGUAGCGGUGAAGUGCGCAGAUAUCAGGAGGAACACCGGUGGCGAAGGCGGCUCUCUGGGUCUGUCCUGACGCUCAGGCGCGAAAGCUAGGGGAGCAAACGGG
rnacentral:rRNA from 1 species